rnacentral:rRNA from 1 species
UACGAAGGGGGCUAGCGUUGCUCGGAAUUACUGGGCGUAAAGCGCACGUAGGCGGAUCGUUAAGUCGGGGGUGAAAUCCUGGAGCUCAACUCCAGAACUGCCUUCGAUACUGGCGAUCUCGAGUUCGGGAGAGGUGAGUGGAACUGCGAGUGUAGAGGUGAAAUGCGUAGAUAUUCGCAAGAACACCAGUGGCGAAGGCGGCUCACUGGCCCGAUACUGACGCUGAGGUGCGAAAGCGUGGGGAGCAAACAGG